rnacentral:tRNA from 2 species
GGCCCCGUAGCUCAGUUGGAUAGAGCAGCCGCCUUCUAAGCGGCAGGUCGCAGGUUCGAGCCCUGCCGGGGUCGCCA